UACAGAGGUCUCAAGCGUUGUUCGGAUUCAUUGGGCGUAAAGGGUGCGUAGGUGGCGAGGUUAGUUGGGGGUGAAAUCCCGGGGCUCAACCCCGGAACUGCCUCCAAAACUGCUGGUCUGGAGGUCGAGAGAGGUGAGUGGAAUUCCGAGUGUAGAGGUGAAAUUCGUAGAUAUUCGGAGGAACACCAGUGGCGAAGGCGGCUCACUGGCUCGAUACUGACGCUGAGGUGCGAAAGCGUGGGGAGCAAACAGG
rnacentral:rRNA from 1 species